GCACGGCGCACGGGUGCGUAACACGUGGGUAAUCUGCCCUUCGAUGGGGAAUAACCUCGCGAAAGCGAGGCUAAUUCCGCAUAACAUUCCGGGGACCUCGGUUCCUGGAUUCAAAGGAGUGAUUCGUCGGAGGAGGAGCCCGCGCACGAUUAGCUAGUUGGUAGGGUAAUGGCCUACCAAGGCUUUGAUCGUUAGCUGGUCUGAGAGGAUGGCCGGCCACACUGGAACUGAGACACGGUCCAGACUCCUACGGGAGGCAGCAGUGGGGAAUCUUGCACAAUGGGCGAAAGCCUGAUGCAGCGACGCCGCGUGGGGGAUGAAGCAUUUCGGUGUGUAAACCCCUUUCGACCCGGACGAAUGCCUCGCAAGAGGACUGACGGUACGGGUAUAAGAAGCCCCGGCUAACUACGUGCCAGCAGCCGCGGUAAGACGUAGGGGGCCAGCGUUGUUCGGAAUUACUGGGUGUAAAGGGUUCGUAGGCGGUGCGGCAAGUUGGGAGUGAAAUCUCUGGGCUCAACCCAGAGGCUGCUUCCAA
rnacentral:rRNA from 1 species